rnacentral:lncRNA from 1 species
UCAAACUUGGUAGUGAGCAACUGCAGUCUAUACAUCUUUACUCUAGAGAUGCCUUCAUGAGUGGUUUUGAGAAUGUUCCAAGCAUCUUUAGCCACCUCACAGUUGUUUAACAAUCUGAAGAUGUUCUUAUCUACUCCAUCGAAUAUAGCAUUCAAUGCUUUAGAGUUCCCAAGGGCUAGAUCAUCCUCCUCCUUACUCCAUUGUUCCUCAACCUUCUUAUCAGUUGUA